rnacentral:lncRNA from 1 species
CCAGGGAAAUUCAGAAAAAAGAAGUAUAGCAACCAUCAGCUUAAAUGAAAGAAGCAUUGCCUUCAAAAUGUAGAUGGUAUCUUUAAUUUGAAACUUUAUCCGUAGUGGACUACAAAAAAGGAAGAGUAAUUGGCCCAUGGAGAUAUCGCUAUUUCUUUGUCCCAUUUACAGGAAAAAGGCUGCAUACACAAGCAGCAGCAACGCAUCUCCAUUUUAAAAUGUUUGAGCUGCAG